AAUUCUCAACCACAUUGUGGCUUGGAUAGUGGGGGUUAUAUUUGCAGGUUCUUUGAAUCUGCUCCCCUGAAAUGAAUUAGUGGUUUAGGAACUACUACAGGUGUGAUAAUCUAUCUAUGCCUUGGUAAUACUGCUGCACUGCUUCCAAUCAAUGACUUGACCA
rnacentral:misc_RNA from 2 species